rnacentral:rRNA from 1 species
UACGGGGGGGGCAAGCGUUGUUCGGAAUUACUGGGCGUAAAGGGCUCGUAGGCGGCCAACUAAGUCAGACGUGAAAUCCUUCGGCUUAACCGGGGAACUGCGUCUGAUACUGGAUGGCUCGAGUGUGGGAGAGGGAUGCGGAAUUCCAGGUGUAGCGGUGAAAUGCGUAGAUAUCUGGAGGAACACCGGUGGCGAAGGCGGCAUCCUGGACCAUUACUGACGCUGAGGCGCGAAAGCUAGGGGAGCAAACCGG